rnacentral:rRNA from 1 species
AUGAGAACCAGCCUCCUCCUUGUGGCCAUUGCCACCAUCGUCCAUGUCAUUGUUAUGCCAACCACAGCAAUCCCCGGGGGCUGGUUUAAGAUCAAGAACAUCGCCGACCCGCACAUCCAAGAGCUUGGCAAGUGGGCAGUACUGGAGUACACCCAACUGGGGGGCAAUGAUGGGCUCAGGUUUGUGAAGGUGGUGAGUGGCGAUGAGCAGAUUGUGAAGGGUGUAAACUAUCGGCUCGUCAUUGACGCCUUGAGACUCGAUGGCUCACACGGUACAUACAAGGCAGUGUUGUUCGAGAAGGACUCGAGUAACCCAAAGACAUGGAAGUUCAUAUCGUUCACCCCUGCAAAUUGA